GAUGAACGCUGACAGAAUGCUUAACACAUGCAAGUCUUUGGCGAAUCUGUGCUUGCACAGGCUAGCCAAGGCGGACGGGUGAGUAACGCGUAAAGAACUUGCCCUGCAGACAGUGAUAACAGACGGAAACGACUGAUCACACCUGAUACAGUUGCCGGCACGCAUGUGCCUGGCAAUGAAAAGAGAUGCUGCAGGAGAGCUUUGCGUCCUAUUAGCUUGUUGGUGAGGUGACGGCUCACCAAGGCGAUGAUAGGUAGCCGGCCUGAGAGGGUGAACGGCCACAAGGGGAAUGAGAGACGGACCUUACUCCUACGGGAGGCAGCAGUGGGGAAUAUUGGACAAUGGGGGCAACCCUGAUCCAGCAAUUCUGUGUGCACGAAGAAGGUUUUCGGAUUGUAAAGUGCUUUCAGAAGGGAAGAAGAAUGUGACGGUACCUGCAGAAGAAGCGACGGCUAAAUACGUG
rnacentral:rRNA from 1 species